rnacentral:tRNA from 2 species
GGGUCGUUAGCUCAGUUGGUAGAGCAGCGGACUUUUAAUCCGUUGGUCACUGGUUCGAAUCCAGUACGACCCA